rnacentral:misc_RNA from 1 species
GAAUGUUCCAGCAAUCACGCUUCUAAGCAAGCAGUUUGGACAUUAAUCUUGACCUUAAUGCAAUCCACGGUGUAUUUUAGAAGUGCCUUUUCAAGCUCAUCCGAGAAACAAAUCUUAGGGGUCUAUCAAUGCAACUCAGCUGAGUAUCAUGAUUAAUAUGUUCCAAGUAUGGCACAUUUCACUAAAUGAAGCAAAAUUUUAAAAAUUUUAUCAUAAAAGGCACCAUCUAACAUAUCAAUCAUAGCGCUAACAAUUAACCAAGAAAUUCAUAGCUUAAAUAAUGCACCCAAAUAGAACAAUAACAAUUCCAUAUUCAUACAAAAUGUUUUACUCCACCCCUCCCCGAAAAGCUUUUUUUUAUUAUUAUCGCAAAAAGGGAA